rnacentral:tRNA from 1 species
CACAAUAAGUUAAAUGAGACGAGGUAGGGAAAAUUGGGAUAUUGUACAUCGCAGCUCGAAAGAGCACA